rnacentral:rRNA from 1 species
AUUGAACGCUGGCGGCAUGCCUUACACAUGCAAGUCGAACGGCAGCACGGGUGCUUGCACCUGGUGGCGAGUGGCGAACGGGUGAGUAAUACAUCGGAACAUGUCCGGUAGUGGGGGAUAGCCCGGCGAAAGCCGGAUUAAUACCGCAUACGAUCUACGGAUGAAAGCGGGGGACCUUCGGGCCUCGCGCUAUAGGGUUGGCCGAUGGCUGAUUAGCUAGUUGGUGGGGUAAAGGCCUACCAAGGCGACGAUCAGUAGCUGGUCUGAGAGGACGACCAGCCACACUGGGACUGAGACACGGCCCAGACUCCUACGGGAGGCAGCAGUGGGGAAUUUUGGACAAUGGGCGAAAGCCUGAUCCAGCAAUGCCGCGUGUGUGAAGAAGGCCUUCGGGUUGUAAAGCACUUUUGUCCGGAAAGAAAUCCUUGGCCCUAAUACGGUCGGGGGAUGACGGUACCGGAAGAAUAAGCACCGGCUAACUACGUG